AGCAUGUGGAUCGCCUCAAACAU
rnacentral:siRNA from 1 species